GUGUACGGCUAUACUACCGGAAAAGCGCCCGUUCCCGUCCGAUUACGAGAGCCUAGCCCGGUCAGGCCCGACUAGUACUAGGGUGGGGGACCACCUGGGAACAUCGGGUGCUGUACACU
rnacentral:rRNA from 11 species